rnacentral:rRNA from 1 species
GAUGAACGCUGGCGGCGUGCCUAAUACAUGCAAGUCGAGCGAACAGACGAGGAGCUUGCUCCUCUGACGUUAGCGGCGGACGGGUGAGUAACACGUGGAUAACCUACCUAUAAGACUGGGAUAACUUCGGGAAACCGGAGCUAAUACCGGAUAAUAUAUUGAACCGCAUGGUUCAAUAGUGAAAGACGGUUUUGCUGUCACUUAUAGAUGGAUCCGCGCCGCAUUAGCUAGUUGGUAAGGUAACGGCUUACCAAGGCAACGAUGCGUAGCCGACCUGAGAGGGUGAUCGGCCACACUGGAACGGAGACACGGUCCAGACUCCUACGGGAGGCAGCAGUAGGGAAUCUUCCGCAAUGGGCGAAAGCCUGACGGAGCAACGCCGCGUGAGUGAUGAAGGUCUUCGGAUCGUAAAACUCUGUUAUUAGGGAAGAACAAAUUUGUAAGUAACUAUGCACGUCUUGACGGUACCUAAUCAGAAAGCCACGGCUAACUACGUG